rnacentral:rRNA from 1 species
AGCCGCGGUAAUACCCGAGGCCCAAGUGAUGGCCACUUUUAUUGGGUCUAAAGCGUCCGUAGCCUGUCUUGUAAGUUCCUGGUGAAAUCUUCCAGCAAACUGGAAGGCGUGCUGGGAAUACUGCAACGGCUUGAGACCAGGAGAGGCAAGAGGUACUUAUGGGGUAGGGGUUAAAUCCUAUAAUCCCAUAGGGACCACCUGUGGCGAAGGCGUCUUGCUGGAAUGGGUCUGACGGUGAGGGACGAAAGCGUGGGUAGCGAUCGGGAUUAGAUACCCCGGUAGUCCACGCUGUAAACGAUGCCCGUUUGGUAUAGCAGAUUUCUUGGGAGUUUGCCGUGCCGUAGCGUAGGUGUUAAACGGGCCACCUGGGGAGUACGUCCGCAAGGAUGAAACUUAAAGGAAUUGGCGGGGGAGCACACAAGGGGUGGGCACUGCGGUUCAAUUGGAUUCGACGCCGGAAAUCUCACCAGGGAAGACGGCAGGCUGAAGGUCAGUCCGAAGGGCUUACCAGACAAGCCGAGAGGUGGUGCAUGGCC